CGGUGUAGAUGUGGCCUUAGGUGGGUCAUGACUGCCCAGGUCAGAGGGACAGUGCUGGAAAUACACUAGGGGCUGUUCUUGUAGCGCUGAAGGAGUUUGCGGCACUGUUUGCGAUGGGAAAUGGACUAAAUACAAGGGCCCAUUGCUAGUUCUGGCAGUCAAAUCCCACCUGUGCCGCUUCCAGCAGUGCCCCCAGAGCGUGAGAACCAGCCUCGGGGCACUGCUAGGAACCAGAGCACAAACCCAAACUGGCUGUGAGUUCUGCACCUAGGUGUCACCAACCAGUUAUUAAGUGUGAACUCCUCAGGCACCAUAACAGCCUAACCAGGGCGUCCCAGCCAGGCCCCUUGGGUACGCCGGUCUGUCUCGCCGCCCAGGUGCGUGUACCUUUGUGAUAGCUGGUUCCUUACACCACCAAUCACAGCAAUAUUCAGCUUACUCCCAGCCCCAAAGGGCCAGUCACCUACCUAGGUGAAUCGCACCUCACAUCUCACACCAAAGACAAGGCUUCUAGCCAAUCCUAUAAUAAACUAUCUAAAGAUUUAUUAGCUAGGAAAAGGAAACCAGAGAGUUAUUUACAAGGUUAAAGCAAGUAAACAUAGACGCACAAAUGAGUUACUAUCUCAACUUUCACAAGGAAAUAGAAGCUUCUGUCAUGAGCAAACGCUACAUGCCCUUCAGGACUCACCCCGGCUGAGCAGAUGUGGAUCUCUUGCUUAUGCCUAGAAACCUGCCCACCCCAGAGUCCGAGCAGCCUAGUGACCAUCAGUUCCUUCGUUUGGGGGUUUUAUCCCCAUCCGUCCUUGUGAUCUCAGCUGCAAACUCGGUGAUGGGAGGAAUCCACUAGCACGACUCAUCUUCACAGGGGUGGGGAGGGCAAAACAACAAACAUCUUUUGUCCUCUUUAAUGUCCCACAGUAGUCCGUCUGGUGUCAGUGGCCCUUUCCCGUUGGGCAGGACAUAACACCUUCUGCAGGAGAUCAGCCAUUCACACUAAUUCGUCUCUUUCUCCCCUCUGGCGAGUUACGCAGUCACAGAGACUCACCAUACAACCGCUCACAUGUUACCUUACACUAUGGGAUAGAGACGCUGUAAGUGAGAUGAAUGCAGGCAGCAACACACCAGCAUUCAAUAAAGAAUAAACACUAACAGAUUCCUAUCAUUCCGAUCCCUGUUUUAACAAUACUAACGCCCAGGUGAGCCAGACUGAUUCCACGGUGUGUCUGUCACUGUUCCACUGAGACACGGGGACUCUGGAUUGCCAGUGUCACACCGACCUGGCUUUGUUCGGGUGUGGGGGGUAUAAAGCUCUGACCUGAGCAGGUAGUUGCCACAUUGCUCAGUUGCUCUCCUGUUGCUACAUUUCGCGCUGGAACAGGAACUGACCGGCCCCUUCCUGAGGCCGUUGGGCGUUCAGCUGCUGAAGCAACUGCUCCCCUUCUCCUAUUGUUAUACGGAAUAAACGGCUACCCAGGGAGGUGCCUCUUUGCUGGGAUGAGAGCGUAGCUGUGACGAGCCCUUGGCCCUCCCGCUCGCCACUCUGCACACACUGGAAACGCUGUUACUGUUAUGGCCCCCAAAGGUGCUGGGCGCGGCACAGACAGGAUCUCUCAUCAGCCCAGCAUGUUAGAUCUGAACUCUGUGUAGGAUUCACAGAUAACUACAGAGAUGUUCGCUCCUGUCGGCUGUCCUGCCCCUCGGCCCCUCCCUUUGCAUCCCUUAGUGCCGUGUUUAUCCAACCUUCCCUCGCUGGAAUCCCUUGGACAGAAAUCCUCUCCUAACCCCUAGAGCUGCGCGGGGGCUUGGCCCUGGAGAGCGUGGCUGAAGCUGGAAAUGGAGGUUUCUCUCCUGGAAGGACACCCCUCCCUACGCUAAGCUCGCGGGCUCGUCCAUUCCUCUGAGGACCCCGCUCAGACCCACAUGCAGCUGUUGGGAUUUGUUAUCAGCCAGGCGUCUCACUGCCAUGGGACUGUUCUGUCUUCCAGAGAAACCCGGGUUCUGUCGCGUGUUCCCCCCAGACACCAUGGGGAUCUGUGCUCUGCUCUGCUUCAGUGAUGACGACUGUGCUGGAGCAGAAAAGUGCUGCAGUAAUGGGUGUGGCCGGACUUGCCAAACCCCACAGCAGAGCCGACCAGAGCGAGACCGGGAAGAGCCGAGAGCGUGACAGCAGGGCCUGUGGGGGGAUGGGACAGGAUCCUCCAAUACAGUCCCCACCUGACACCAACCCCGAAUCGUCCGUGGGCCUGAUCUCGCCCAGCACAUGGGUUGUGUAAUAAAGAGCUCAGCUCAGCUGGUCUCCCUGUGAUUUCCUGGAUUGGGCCUCACUGUCCCUGCAUGUCCGCCCCUGCAGCUGGAGCCUGUGCCCCAGGCUAAAGCCCCUGGAGAGACGGGGUCUCCUGGGGGUGGCAGGCACUGGGCAGUGUCACUAGAGCCUGAGCUGCCACAUAGUCCCUGGGCUCCAGAGAGCAGCUGUUCGUGUGCUGGAGACACCAGAUCCCGAGGAUCACAGUCCCCCGCCCCACAGGACCUUCGCUACAAGAGGAUCAUGUUCCCUCUUUAGCCCCACCUCUCGUAGCAUCUCCCCAGCGCAGUGAGCUGCAGACCGUGCCCUGGGGCUGGAUAAACACGGCUUCGCCCCACAGUGGCAGGCUGGCUCUGCCACCCUGAGACUCCCCGCAGAACCUGGGGCUGUUGGACUGUCGCUUUGGGCAGGAGAGGGGAAUGCUGGUGGAGGCCUGGGGGUGUGAGCCGAUUGACCCUGCUCCCUUCCCACACUCUGGUUUGCUUUCCCAUCCCCACUGGAGCGACCAGACCCCGUGCCCGUGAGACCCGCCUCUGAAUCCCAGGGGGAAAGGCUUUCUCUGGGGUUCCUGCUCUGGACCCCAGCCACACCCCACAGGUGCUGAGCUCUGGAAGGGAGAGAUGGGAGCCAGGCAGAGACCUGUGGGUCUGGUCUGAGCUUCGGGGGUGGGUCAGGCACAUUCCUGGCUGGCUCCCGCAGCACUGGGGGAGUGAAAUGGCCACGGUUCACAAACAACAAAGUGAUGGACAGCGAGAGCAGAGACCCCCAGGCUGCCAUGGACAGGAGCAAGCGUGUGUAAGCAGGGUCUGAAGGAGCUCUCCCCUGACAGCUAGUUGGGAGGGGCAGAGACUUCCGGAGCAAACUGUAUUGACAUGAACACACCCACUCUGCCAAGAUAUCCAGCAGCUAGAGGCCUGUUGCUCAGAGUGAUCCCCUUUGACUGGUGCUGGGUUACAAAUCACUUUAGCACUGACUGCAGGGGUAGGUAGUGAAAUGUUAUCAGUGUUGUCGUCUUUAUUGCAUGAAUAAAGGGGACCAGGACUGUGCUUUACCUGUCCCAAAUGAGGGGGUCACCUCAACUGAAAGGACCUCGCUAAGCCAGGGGCUUGCAUACCAGAGCCAUGUGCGAGUAAGAGGGGUGGGGAUGGUGUCCCAGCCAGGAGGUGUGGACUCUCCCCAAGGGUCCCCCAUCUGGUUUAACCUGUUUCUCCCCACUGUUCAAAGACAGAGCUAAAUAGGCCUCAGGGGCUCCCGGCACACACAUUAGGAGCCUUUGUUAUUUUAAGUGUUUAAAUGAGAGUUGAACUCACUGGUGGUGGGUCAGUGUUUCUGCCCAGCCUGCUAAAAGCUGAAACUCACUAAGAGACUGACCUGCAGAGGUCACAGCAGAGAGGUGGCAACAGUAGAUAACUGACAGUCAGCUGGCGGGAACAGCGAACAGUCAGCCUGCAGAAGCAGCAAACAGGCGGCCGGUGGGAGUGGAACGAGCGGCUGGCACAGCAGCCAGAAGAGAGGGACCGUGGCUGGCGGGGCGGGCUGGCAGAGCAAGCCAGGUGGAGAGGAAAUGCCCAGCACCCAUGGCAGCUGUGUGAGCCAUUUCUCCAGUGUCCUGCCCCUUGAGCCCCCGCCCCAGAUGACUAUGACCCCUCUGAGCCCUGGCAGGAGGUUCACGGUCCUGGGUGCCAGCCUACAGAGGAGUUCGGUAGGACUGGUAUUGUCAUUAACAUCCAGCCAUUGGCUUCCACUGCAGGUGAGGCCCUGGGCAGAGGGCAGCCCACGCCGCUCUCUGCCUGGCCCUACAAACAUGGAGGCCGUUCUCUAGGGCUAUUCCCAGGCACUGGCCGUGCUGGUGCAUCAGGCUACAUCACCAUCGCCAGAAGGGCCAGCAGCUCGAGUGCUGGGAGCAGGGGCUGGAUCACUGGCUGAGAAACAGGAGUGGGGGCGAGCCAGUGCCCAGAGCGAUGGGGUAAUGGCACGUGUGACCCUUCUGCCAGGUGGAGUCGGCAGCAACCAGGGCCGGGUUCAAUAUCUAGGGGAUCCUCUUUAACAAUAUGACACAGAACCAGCUCGAGCCCCACCACAGUAACCUGGGAAAAUUACACACCAUCCUGGGCACCUCUGCGAGGCCAUACUUCCCCUCUCACAAGCACAGCGUCUGAGUGCAGCAAAGAAACUUGUAAUGAAAGGAGGGAAGUCACCGGACAUUAAUUAGGGAAAAUGCCACAAGCAGGAUUCAUAGUCAUACAGCUGUGAGCAGGACGCCCACCCCGGAGUGCGUGGGGCAGAGCCUUCCGCCUCGUGUUCUUGAGUUCUACAGCCAACAGUUCCUUUUCCAUCAGGGGCUCGUUCACCUGCACAUCUACCAAUGUGAUAUAUGCCAUCAUGUGCCAGCAAUGCCCCUCUGCCA